GACGAACGCUGGCGGCGUGCCUAAUACAUGCAAGUUGAGCGCUGAAGGUUGGUACUUGUACCAACUGGAUGAGCAGCGAACGGGUGAGUAACGCGUGGAGAAUCUGCCUUUGAGCGGGGGACAACAUUUGGAAACGAAUGCUAAUACCGCAUAAAAACUUUAAACACAAGUUUUAAGUUUGAAAGAUGCAAUUGCAUCACUCAAAGAUGAUCCCGCGUUGUAUUAGCUAGUUGGUGAGGUAAAGGCUCACCAAGGCGAUGAUACAUAGCCGACCUGAGAGGGUGAUCGGCCACAUUGGGACUGAGACACGGCCCAAACUCCUACGGGAGGCAGCAGUAGGGAAUCUUCGGCAAUGGACGAAAGUCUGACCGAGCAACGCCGCGUGAGUGAAGAAGGGUUUCGGAUCGUAAAACUCUGUUGGUAGAGAAGAACGUUGGUGAGAGUGGAAAGCUCAUCAAGUGACGGUAACUACCCAGAAAGGGACGGCUAACUACGUG
rnacentral:rRNA from 1 species